rnacentral:rRNA from 1 species
GAUGAACGCUGGCGGCGUGCCUAAUACAUGCAAGUCGAGCGAACGGACGAGAAGCUUGCUUCUCUGAUGUUAGCGGCGGACGGGUGAGUAACACGUGGAUAACCUACCUAUAAGACUGGGAUAACUUCGGGAAACCGUAGCUGAUACCGGAUAAUAUUUUGAACCGCAUGGUUCAAAAGUGAAAGACGGUCUUGCUGUCACUUAUAGAUGGAUCCGCGCUGCAUUAGCUAGUUGGUAAGGUAACGGCUUACCAAGGCAACGAUGCAUAGCCGACCUGAGAGGGUGAUCGGCCACACUGGAACUGAGACACGGUACAGACUCCUACGGGAGGCAGCAGUAGGGAAUCUUCCGCAAUGGGCGAAAGCCUGACGGAGCAACGCCGCGUGAGUGAUGAAGGUCUUCGGAUCGUAAAACUCUGUUAUUAGGGAAGAACAUAUGUGUAAGUAACUGUGCACAUCUUGACGGUACCUAAUCAGAAAGCCACGGCUAACUACGUG